GGUGUGAACGGGCUUUAAAGGGCCUUAGUUCAUGUUCGAGUAGGCCUCUCUACACAAACUCUUUACUCACAAACACUCACUCACACACACAGAAUCUCCGUCCCUCUUGCUCUGCUUGGCUUCAUAUUUCUCCAUUACUCAGGCGAACCUGAUGUUCAUGAAUCCCGCCACGAGGAGGCGCACUAACAUAGAACACGCUUUCAAUGACACAAGACUGUGAAGCCGCAGAUCUUGGCUGCCAUGAGCAAACUACCAACGCCAGAGCCCAGCUGGUGCUGAACAGCCCCCCAGCCGCACGCUUUUCGAGUGGGCCAUUAAAAUGUGGCUUGUUCUUAUUUAAUCCCCGUGUGUAUGAAGGCCGCAUACGCUGUCCUACCGCCAGCGCACCACGUGAACCAAGCAGUCCCUAGACAGAGGGCAAGUCCUCCUUAACACACCCAGCUAGGACAGCGGUCAGCCAUUAGUAUCCCUCAACCAGCCUAAUCGCGCCAGUGGGCAUCCUGGCAC